CGUAUGGUGUGCAACUUCGGGUUGUAUAGCGAUACGGCCUUAUUAUGUGAGGU
rfam:Alteromonas sp. Nap_26 scaffold_47, whole genome shotgun sequence.